AUUCAAUAAUUAAAAAAAGUUUCUUUCUAUAAUUUUUACACUUGAUAAAUUUUGUAAUUACAUCAUAGGAUCAAAAAUAACUAUUUAUUUUGAUCAUGCAGCUAUCAAAUAUCUUGCAAACAAGAAAGAAACCAAACCAAGGAUAUCGAGGUGGAUUCUUCUACUUCAAGAGUUCAAUGUCGCCAUCAAAGAUAAGAAAUGCCUCGAUAAACCCAUAGCCAAUCAUUUUAGUAGGAUCAUCCAAAAGCAAAAGGACAAUCCAGUAUGAAAGGACUUUUUCGAUGAGUACCUUUUCAAGUUAAACAUACCAUGAGUACUUUUUCAAGUUAAACUUGCACAUUCCAUGGUAUGUCGACAUGUUAAAUUACCUUGUAACAGAUUUGGAAUUCCUAAAGCCAUAGUAAGUGACCAAGGAACUCACUUUUGCAACUGGACCAUCAAGACACUAAUGAAGAAAUACAUAGUGCAACAUCGGGUCUCAACUUCGUAUCACCCUCAAACAAAUGAUCGAGCAGAAAUUUCUAAUCGAGAGGAAUAAACUUGGCUCAAAACGCAUAUUUGCAAACAAAUAAGGAUUUCAAAUGCUUUCUACAUGCAAGCUUCCUACCAAGCAAAGAUCAAGAAAUUAACACCGAGGGGAGUAUUAUGUUCUCCUUUCAUUUCUCUUUCACUUUACUUUGCUUUUCAAAAGCUUCGAGGAAAAAGCAAUUUUCUAAGUGGGGAAUGGGUAGCAUGUUUCUUGGUACUUAGCUUGCAUGUAUAAUGGGGUCCUAAAAAAAUUUCAAAAGAUUAGAUUUAUCUUGAUUAGAUAUAGCAUAAAAAUUUGAGCACGGAGCUCGAAUUUGUGAAUUGUGAUAUUCUGGAUAUGUUUGUGAUUCUGAGUAUUUCAAAUUUGUGCACUAAAUAUGUUAAGAAUAAGUUGCUAUCUCCUUUAAGCCCUUUUUUAGCCAUACCAUAUAUCGAAUGUGAAUGUUUGAUUAGGAAAAUGGUAUGUAUGUUGUGAAUGUUUGAUUGCAUGUAUCAUAAGUGCAUGGAUGCUUUUCUAGCCUUGUCUUCUUUGUUGCGUUAUUAGGAAAUACCUAUGAUAUACUUAGUCCAAAUCUAGCCUAAAUAGAGUUAAAAAAGAAUAGAAGCUACUCUUUAAAAGUUGAGACGGUUUUAACACUUUUGUCUUGUCAAACAUGAGUUAGAAACCUCUUCAUAAUGAUCUAGAUUCCUUUAGAAAAGAUUAGGCAUUGAUAAAGCUUAUUAUCACUCUGAAGGGAGUAGUCAAACUUAGAAACUAAGUUUAGAACCAUAGAAAGGUUAGCCCACUAGUUCUAGUAAUGUCUAGUUACCACAUUAUCUACCAGAGAAAUAAAAUGGAGGCUUGCAAAUGCAAAACAAAAAAAAAGUGAGGCAAUCAAAAGCUAAAAAAAACACAAAAAAAAACAAAAAUAUAUGCAAUAUGCAUUCGAAAAAGCUUAA